AAAGCAAACAAGAUAAUGGGCAUGACGGUUCUUGGAAAGCCAUAAGUGCUUUACAAGGAAUUGGAGGAUGAGAGGAAACAAGUGCCAUGCUGCCCAUUUGCACACUCUUGUAUUGAAAGGAGUCAGGAACUGCUAAUGAAUAUACCAGCUGUGUAGGGAAAAGCAGCCAAGCUCCGGCAUUGGGCUGUCAUUUUUCUGCUGGGGUCCUUAUUCUAGACUGCCUGUGAGAAACAUGAGUCUUCAGCCACAACAUGAAUAGAGAGCAAGGGUGACAAAGGCAAUAAAGCUUAGACGGUCGCCAAGGAAACAGGCCGAGAUUUUGGAAGUAUCUGAAACCAUGGGGAAAUUUCCAAGAAAAAUCAAUGAUUUAAGUCAACAGUCAGAUUAAGACUUACCUGCAUCAGAG